CCCCGGGCCCCACCCACCGUCACGCCCCGCCCCGGACCGGCCCCGCCCCGGACCGGCCCCGCCCCGGCCGCAUCCCGCCUCCGGCCUCUGGCGAGGGUCUGCCGUUCGCCCCCAGCCCAGCUUCUCCAGACUUUAGUGCAGACCCUAACCGGGAGCCGUGACCCCAGACUCUGGCCGCGCAGGUGCCCCUCGGUAGCCGCGGGAGGGAGAACCUGCCACCCUCGCCCCUCCCCGGUUCACCCCGGUCCUGCCUCUCCGCUAACGCCUCCUGGAAGAGGGUCCUAAGAGCCUCGCGGCCCGCCACCAGCCUGGUCCCUCUGCAGACAGCCUCCUCCCAUCCCACUCUCCCUCCAUCCCCCGGCCUGACGGGUGAGAUGGGUUCCGCCACCAGAAGACGGAGGUGGAAGCAACUCCAGCUGCAUGUCCUGCAUGUCCUCCAGCUGCACGGGCACCUUAUUUCACGUCAGAGUCAUCUGCAAAUGAGACUUCUGACAAUACCCAACUCACAAGUCAUCUUG
ensembl:lncRNA